UCUAAUAUUCAAAAAAAAAAAAAAAAAGCUAGAACUAAAAAUGAAACAAAAAAGUAAAGAAAAACACUGAAGGAGGAGGCCAAUUCGCCAGGAUCGGACACCUUUCUGCACUGAGCUACUUCCUCCGGCUCCGGCGGACAGUGGUCGCCGAGAAGGGCACCACUGUUUCUCUUAUCCAUCUGCUUCAAGCCUAUUCAUUUCUUUACUAUUUCCCGAUUUCUCCCGGAGAUCACCAACUCAAGAACAAGCCUGGUUCUAGCUCAGGGGGAGAACAGUGCCCAACAAAAAAGUUCCGGAAAAGCACAAAACUGGUAUUCACAUUGUUGAUAUUAACCUCUGCCCUAGAUGGAAUUUCAUAUCAUAUAUGUUUCUGUUUCUCAUUGCAAGUUUCGCUGUUUCUGAAGAUGUCCUUUUUGGUUGUCUGCUACCAAACAAUCCUUAAAAUGUUUUAAAGCAUCUUCCCAUGAAUCCAAGCAUGAUUUUAC